AUUGGAAUUUCGCUAACUCCUCCGAAGGCUUUCUUUCCACCGGCACCACAUUUGCUCAGGCCAAUCUACACCCCAUGGCCAUUAAAAGUUAUUCAAAUCAUGACGCUGCACCCCACGGUUUAGGUUCUAGGGGGCGCCAAAGAUAACCCGAAAAUCCACAUAUUUCAAAGUCUUAUAACUUUUUAUUUUUACCCUCACUGGCCUCCAAGUUUUCUAGGAUGAUGCAAUGUCCAGCCAUCAACACAUUUGUGAAGGAUUUUUUACUCCCCAAAAGAGCGCCCCCCCAUGGCCGGAGAAAAAAGUCCAUUUUUUCUUGUCCCCUAAGGUGAAAAUACACAUUGUUGAGUGUCACGCCUGUACGCUUUGUCAUAUUGACACAAAAUUUGACACACACAUGUAUCUCAAUAAGAUCUACGAAAAAGUCAAUGCGCGCGUAUCUGUCAAAUGUACGGUUAAAGGGUUAUUCUGCAUUUUUUGCUGAUCCGCACACAUUGGAAUUUCGCUAACUCCUCCUAAGGCUGGCGUUCCACCGGCACCACAUUUGCUCAGGCCAAUCUACACCCCAUGGCCAUUAAAAGUUAUUCAAAUCAUGACGCUGCACCCCACGGUUUAGGUUCUAGGGGGCGCCAAAGAUAACCCUAAAAUCCACAUAUUUCAAAGUCUUAUAACUUUUUCUUUUUGUCCUCACUGGCCUCCAAGUUUUCUAGGAUGAUGCAAUGUCCAGCCAUCAACACAUUUGUGAAGGAAUUUUUACUCCCUAAAAGAGCGCCCCCCAUGGCAGGAGAAAAAAGUCAAUUUUUUCUUGUCCCGUAAGGUGAAAAUUCACAUUGUUGAGUGUGACACCUGUACGCUUUGUCAUAUUGACACAAAAUUUGACAAUCACGUGUAUCUCAAUAAGAUCUACGAAAAAGUCAAUGGGUGCGUAUCUGUCAAAUGUACGGUUAGAGGGCUAUUUUGCAUUUUUUGCCGAUUCGCACACAUUGGAAUGUGGCUAACUCCUCCUAAGGCUUUCGUCCCACUGAAACUAAAUUUGCUCAGGCCAAUCUACACCCCAUGGCCAUUCAAAGUUGUAAAAAUCAUGACGCUGCACCCCACGGUUUACGUUCUAGGGGGCGCCAAAGAUGACCAAAAAAUCCACAUUCUUAAAAGAAUCCACAUUCUCCCCCCCCCAUGGCAGGAGAAAAAGUCAAGUUUUUCCUGCCCAUCGCUCAAUGGCUCAAUCGCAUCGCUCUCCAGGCAACACCGUAUCCAGGAGCAACCUGCCAUUUGGAUAUAUCCCAGCUGUGUUUGUGCCCUCACUCAUGGUCCAGACUUUUUUCAAAUAGGACAUGAAGUUUGUCUGCAGCGAGUGUUUUGGUAGAAACUGCGCCUCCCAUUCAUUAUAAUGGGAAAUGACCACAGACAAGUGCGCACACCAUCUUUGGACCUUGAGUGUGACGCGAUCGGGAGGGGGAGGCGGUCACGCUGGGGGCGGCACAACGCGGCUCGGGCCCGACAGUGCCCCACCGGGGCCCUAGUUAUUAUUAUUAUUAUUUUUCCUCCCCUUUGAACUGGAAAAUGGCCCACUUCCCACUGGCGAAAACUCAUGAAAUUUGGCAGGACGACCGGGCCUGGUGAAAAAUUUGAUAUUCCGAAGUCGCCCAAACAAGAAAAUGCAAAAUGGCUCCAUAGCGCCCCCUAAGGUGAAAAUUCACACUAUUGACUGUCACGCCUGUACGCUUUGUCAAAAUGACACAAAAAUUGACACACACAUGUAUCUCAAUAAGAUCUACGAAAAAGUCAGUGCGGGCGUAUCUGUCAAAUGUACGGUUAAAGGGUUAUUUCGCAUUUUUUGCCGAUCCGCACACAUUGGAAUUUCGCUAACUCCUCCGAAGGCUUUCAUUCCACCGGCACCACAUUUGCUCAGGCCAAUCUACACCCCAUGGCCAUUAAAAGUUAUUCAAAUCAUGACGCUGCACCCCACGGUUUAGGUUCUAGGGGGCGCCAAAGAUAACCCUAAGAUCCACAUAUUUAAAAGUCUUAUAACUUUUUAUUUUUGCCCUCACUGGCCUCCAAGUUUUCUAGGAUGAUGCAAUGUCCAGCCAUCAACACAUUUGUGAAGGAAUUUUUACUCCCCAAAAGAGCGCCCCCCCAUGGCAGGAGAAAAAAGUCCAUUUUUUCUUGUCCCCAAAGGUGAAAAUACACAUUGUUGAGUGUAACACCUGUACGCUUUGGCAAAAUGACACAAAAAUUGACACACACAUGUAUCUCAAUAAGAUCUACGAAAAAGUCAAUGCGCGCGUAUCUGUCAAAUGUACGGUUAAAGGGUUAUUCCGCAUUUUUUGCCGAUCCGCACACAUUGGAAUUUCGCUAACUCCUCCGAAGGCUUUCGUUCCACCGGCACCACAUUUGCUCAGGCCAAUCUACACCCCAUGGCCAUUAAAAGUUAUUCAAAUCAUGACGCUGCACCCCACGGUUUAGGUUCUAGGGGGAGCCAAAGAUAACCGUAAAAUCCACAUAUUUAAAAGUCUUAUAACUUUUUAUUUUUGUCCCCACUGGCCUCCAAGUUUUCUAGGAUGAUGCAAUGUCCAGCCAUCAACACAUUUGUGAAGGAAUUUUUACUCGGCAAAAGAGCGCCCCCCAUGGCAGGAGAAAAAAGUCAAUUUUUUCUUGUCCACUAAGGUGAAAAUACACAUUGUUGAGUGCUACGCCUGUAUGUUUUGUCGUAUUGACACAAAAUUUUACAUACACGUGUAUUUCAAUAAGAUCUUCGAAAAAGUCAAUGGCCACGUAUCUGUAAAAUGUACGGUUGAAGGGUUAUUUCGCAUUUUUUGCAGAUUCGCACACAUUGGAAUUUCGCUAAUUCCUCCGAAGGCUUUCGUUCCACCGGCACCACAUUUGCUCAGGCCAAUCUACACCCCAUGGCCAUUAAAAGUUAUUCAAAUCAUGACGCUGCACCCCACGGUUUAGGUUCUAGGGGGCGCCAAAGAUAACCCUAAAAUCCACAUAUUUAAAAGUCUUAUAACUUUUUAGGGCCCGAGCGUAGCUGCUAAGCAGCUGCGAGAGCCCUCUUGUUCCUGAUGGAUUCUUCUUUUGUUAGGGCCCGAGCGUAGCUGCUAAGCAGCUGCGAGAGCCCUAUUAUUCCUGAUGGAUUCUUCUUUCUUCUUCUUCUUCUUAUUAUUUUUCUGCCCCUUUGAACUGGAAAAUGGCCCACUUCCCACUGGUGAAAAGUCAUGAAAUUUGGCAGGACGACCGGGCCUGGUGAAAAAUUCGAUAUUCUGAAGUCGCCCAAAAAAUCAAAUGCAAAAUGGCUCCAUAGCGCCCCCUAAGGUGAAAAAUUCACAUGAUUGAGUGUCACGCCUGUACGCUUUGUCAAAAUGACACAAAAUUUGACACACACGUGUAUCUCAAUAAGAUCUACAAAAAAGUCAGUGCGGGCGUAUCUGUCAAAUGUACGGUUAAAGGGCUAUUUCGCAUUUUUUGCCGAUCCGCACACAUUGGAAUUUCGCUAACUCCUCCGAAGGCUUUCGUUCCACCGGCACCAAAUUUGCUCAGGCCAAUCUACACCCCAUGGCCAUUAAAAGUUGUACAAAUCAUGACGCUGCAUCCCACGGUUUACGUUCUAGGGGGCGCCAAAGAUAACCCAGAAAUCCACAUUCUUAAAAGUCGUAUAACUUUUUAUUUUUGUCCUCACUGGCCUCCAAGUUUUCUAGGAUGAUGCAAUGUCUAGCCAUCAACACAUUUGUGAAGGAAUUUUUACUCCC
rnacentral:lncRNA from 1 species